CACAGUGACGGGAAGAGAGGGGACUGACCAGCAGAUCUCACCCGUGGGUAAUGAGCCCAGAGAGAUCAGGGAUCAGGAGAGGUCUGCCACAGCAGCAAGGAGGCUUCCCCGGGGAGGCAGUGACAGUGACUGGCUGAGGCUUGAAGAGGAGCUACCUGCCAAGUAGGAAGAUUAGCCCUGAGCUAACAUCUGCCAAUCCUUCUCUUUUUGCUGAGGAAGACUGGCCCUGAGCUGACAUCCAUGCCCAUCUUCCUCUACUUCAUACGUGGGACACCUGCCACAGCAUGGCUUGCCAAGUAGUGCCACGUUCACACCCGCGAUCUGAACCAGUGAACAAUGGGCUGUUGAAGCAGAAUGUGCAAAUCAACCACUGUGCCACCAGGUGGGCCCCAUAAGGCAGAUUUAAUUAGAAGCCCGGGAGCAAGAGUUGCAUACUUGAUGGUUCCGAAGGGGUAUCUAGGGAUGUUUUAAGGGCCUUUAACACAGGUGGUUCUAGGUUUUUUAAUUUGUCUAAUUUUACUUAAAAACUUAUAACUUUCUUGUCCUUGAGCCAAUUAUCUCUAACAUUGUUCUCACACUUACCCUUAGAGUACCAUCGUUAGGCUGAUGACUCUAAAAUUUGCAUCUUUAGGGCACACUGUUAUAUAUUCAGCUCCCAGGUUGGCAUUCGUACUUGGAGAUCGCAUACACAUCUUAGAUUCAACAAGGUCAAAACAGAACUCUUGACCCAAAUCUGCUCCCUCCCAAGGCUGUCCUACAUCAUUAAAUGGCGUUGCCAUAUGCUGGGUGCUCAGGUCAAACCCUGGGAAAUAUUCUUAGUUUUUCUUAUUCCCUCAAGUAGACCCGUGUACUUUGGCUCCAAUAGCCCAUGGCACUUUAUGCAAAAUAUGGUCACUUCUCACCAUGUGCCAUCUACAGGUCAAUUCAAGCCAUCAUCAAGUCGACUCCGACAGCCUGCCGCCCCAUCUCUCUGCCUCUCCCACUGCUGUCCUUACACGGCAGCCAGGGUCUUGAAAGCAUGAAUGACAUCUCUUCCUUGCUCAAAACCCUCCAAAGGCUUUCCAUUGCAAGUGGAAUAAAACUCAGACCUGUUACUACACCCCACGAGGCUCUAUGUGAUCUUGCCUCUCUCCAUUUUCCCCUCGAGCCAGCCUGCCUUCUAUAUGUCAACACGCUAGGCUUAUAGCAACUCAGGGCCUUGCUUAUCUUGAUCCCGUGCCAGGAACCUCUUCCAAUGACAUCUCCCUUCUCAUCAUUGUCUCUUCCUUAGACAGGACUUUCCUAUCCAAGUCUGGCAGAGACUUCUAGUUGUCCUCCAAUAUCUACUCUUCCCUUUUCCCAAAGAAAUGGAACCUCCUAUUUUUAGCUGAGUCCGUAAUCGGCCAGUCUCCCUUAAACUGGUUAUUGCUACUGGCCAAUGCAAUAUAAGAAGAAACAUAACAUGGCAGUUUCCAGAAACCAUUCUUAAAAGAUUAUUGGCACAUACCUUUGCCUUUUAUUCAUUCUGCUGGCUGGCAUGUGACAUGAUGGCUGGAUCUGGAGCAGCCAUCUUAGACCAUGAGGUAAACUUAGAAAUGGAGGCUGUGCACAGCAGAGCAACAGAAUAGAAGGAGCCUGAAUCACUGAGGAUUUCAUGGAGUGCAAUGACCACAACAGACCUGGGUUACUCGCUUCUGGCCUUCUACUUGAGAGAGAAAUAAACUUUUAUCUUGUUUAAACCACUGUUAUUUUGGAUCCUGUUAUCAACUUAAUUCUAAUUGAUAGACUAACCUGGCUAAGGCAGCCUUCUUUUAUAUUUAUCUGUAUUUUUUUCUUCAAAGUACUUAGCACCUGAAAUUACCCUACAUAUUUACUUAUACUUUUAUUUCUUUUUUUAUUGUCUGUCUUCUCCCUUCUGAAAGGUAAACUCCUUGAGGCCAGGGAUCAUCUGACAUUCACUGCUAUAUCCCUUCCCCCUGGAAUACUGCCAUAAUAGGCGCUUCAUAAAUAUUUGUGGGAUGAAUGGGUGAGUGAACACCUACUACGUGCCAGGGAGGGGAGAUACAAAGAUGAUUAGCAUGCUGUUUCCUGAGUCCCUUGCUUGAGAAGCUCACGGUUUCGUGGGGACUGACUUUCUAGUUUGAAGCGGCCAUCAUCCUCAUUGGAUUCAUCUAGAACAGUGGUUCUCAGCCACGGGCAGUUUUGCCCCCCAAGGGACAUUUGUCAAUCUCUGGAAACAUGUUUGAUUGUUACAAGUUGGAAGAUGCUCCCAGAAUCCAGAGACUGGAGCUCAGGGAUGCUGCUAAACAUGCUACCAUGCAGGGGACAGCCCCCACAACAGAGAAUUACUUGGCCCCAAAGGCCAAUAGUGCUGAGGUUGAGAAACCAUGACCCAGCAAAGGUCAAUGCCAAUUAGAUCUGCCGGGGGCGGGGGGGAACUGUUCGGGCUGCACGUGCCAUGGGGCCUCUGUUGUUGUUAGUGAGUGUGCCGGAUUAAACCCCAAGUAGAGGUCAGCUGAGUUGUCAAAUUCUGCAAAGCUCUCUCAUGGAGAGGCCAACCCCAACCAUGAUCCUUUACUUGUCUCGUGGUCCAUGUUCUGAGGACAAUGUGAACUUGGAACAGGUAAAAUUCUGUCCAGGACUCUAGAAACCAAGCCAGAGAAGCUCUCCAAACAGUAUCAUCAUUGAUAUGAAGAACUCCAACGUGAAUCUUCACUUCACCUGUUUUCCUUGGGAAGGCUGAGAGACCUCACGCCGCACUGCUCUCUGCUGUCAUAAAUCUCUUCUCUAUUUCUGUUUGGGUGAAAGGAGCGUAUCUACUUUCACGGUCCUCCUGCAAAAUGUAAUUUUCUCUUGCAGAUAAACAAAUGAUAGAUGAGGGUAGUCUACCGGACCGGAGAUUAUGGAGGUGAUGGUCCUGGGCCACUUCCUAUUUUAACUAUUAGGGUUUUUUUUGUUUGGUUUGGGUUUUUUUUUAGCUUUCCAGUUUGUUAGACACUGAUGCGCUUGGUGACCUUGGCAGGACACUUCAUCUCCCUGAGCCUCAGUUUCCUCAUCAGCAGACUCAGGGAGCUGGAUCAGGCCAUGGCUUAAUGGUCUUCUACUCUAAAUAACCACAAUGAUUCACUUAUCACCUGCUACCAGCAGAAAAUUGAUGGUGACACAUGCCUGGGUUUGAAGAAAUAAAUUUGAAAAUAAAGGAAAGACUAUGGUGAUUUGUAGCAUCAAUGUUCCCCGCCACACCCCUCCCGAUUUUCAAAAAUAAAACAUCAGCAUUAAUCUUUGGAACAGCAGUUCCUAAGAUAUGUUUCUUAGAACAUAGCUCCUUAAGAUAUUAAAAUGGGACUCUAUGUCAAAAAAGUUGGACAGCAGGGGCUGGCCCCCUGGCCGAGUGGUUAGGUUCGCGCGCUCUGCUGCAAGCGGCCCAGUGUUUCGUUGGUUCGAAUCCUGGGCGUGGACAUGGCACUGCUCAUCAAACCACGCUGAGGCAGCGUCCCACAUGCCACAACUAGAAGGACGCACAACGAAGAAUAUACAACUAUGUACUGGGGGGCUUUGG
ensembl:lncRNA